rnacentral:rRNA from 1 species
UACGUAGGCAGCAAGCGUUGUUCGGAGUUACUGGGCGUAAAGGGUGUGUAGGCGGUUGCUUAAGUUUGGUGUGAAAUCUCCCGGCUCAACUGGGAGGGUGCGCCGAAUACUGAGUGACUCGAGUGCGGGAGAGGAAAGUGGAAUUCCUGGUGUAGCGGUGGAAUGCGUAGAGAUCCGGAAGAACACCGGUGGCGAAGGCGGCCUGCUGGGCAGUUUUGCUGACACUGAGGCGCGACAGCGUGGGGAGCAAACAGG